CGGUGAGCAACACUGAAACCGCACACGUAUCGACACGUUAUUCUGGGUGCCCCUCGGGGUUGGAUAACGGGAUGCGUGGAGGCUCAACC
rnacentral:sRNA from 1 species